rnacentral:rRNA from 1 species
UACGUAGGGGGCAAGCGUUGUUCGGAAUUACUGGGCGUAAAGGGCGCGUAGGCGGCAUGGCAAGUCGGGAGUGAAAGCCCGGGGCUCAACCCCGGAACGGCUUUCGAAACUGCCAAGCUAGAGUACGGAAGGGGCAACUGGAAUUCCCAGUGUAGCGGUGAAAUGCGUAGAUAUUGGGAAGAACACCGGAGGCGAAGGCGGGUUGCUGGGCCGAUACUGACGCUGAGGCGCGAAAGCGUGGGGAGCAAACAGG